rnacentral:rRNA from 1 species
UACGUAGGGCGCAAGCGUUAUCCGGAAUUAUUGGGCGUAAAGAGCUCGUAGGCGGUUUGUCGCGUCUGCCGUGAAAGUCCGGGGCUCAACUCCGGAUCUGCGGUGGGUACGGGCAGACUAGAGUGAUGUAGGGGAGACUGGAAUUCCUGGUGUAGCGGUGAAAUGCGCGAUAUCAGGAGGAACACCAGUGGCGAAGGCGGACUCUGGGACCGUAACCUGACGCUGGAGGACGAGAACUAGGGGAGCGAACAGG